UACGUAGGUGGCAAGCGUUGUCCGGAUUUACUGGGCGUAAAGAGCGCGUAGGCGGUCGUAUAAGUCGAAUGUGAAAGCCCCCGGCUCAACUGGGGAGGGUCAUUCGAUACUGUUCGACUCGAAGGCAGGAGAGGGAAGUGGAAUUCCGGGUGUAGUGGUGAAAUGCGUAGAUAUCCGGAGGAACACCAGUGGCGAAGGCGGAUCUCUGGGCCAUUACUGACGCUGAGGAGCGAAAGCGUGGGGAGCGAACAGG
rnacentral:rRNA from 1 species